rnacentral:rRNA from 1 species
UGGGGAAUAUUGGACAAUGGGGGCAACCCUGAUCCAGCAAUGCCGCGUGUGUGAAGAAGGCCUGAGGGUUGUAAAGCACUUUCAGUGGGGAGGAGGAUUGACAGGUUAAGAGCUGGUUAAUUGGACGUUACCCACAGAAGAAGCACCGGCUAACUCCGUGCCAGCAGCCGCGGUAAUACGGAGGGUGCGAGCGUUAAUCGGAAUUACUGGGCGUAAAGGGUGCGUAGGUGGUUUAUUAAGUUAUCUGUGAAAUUCCUGGGCUCAACCUGGGACGGUCAGAUAAGACUGGUAGACUCGAGUAUGGGAGAGGGUAGUGGAAUUUCCGGUGUAGCGGUGAAAUGCGUAGAGAUCGGAAGGAACACCAGUGGCGAAGGCGGCUACCUGGCCUAAUACUGACACUGAGGCACGAAAGCGUGGGGAGCAAACAGGAUUAGAUACCCUGGUAGUCCACGCCGUAAACGAUGUCAACUAGCUGUUGGUUAUAUAAAAAUAAUUAGUGGCGCAGCAAACGCGAUAAGUUGACCGCCUGGGGAGUACGGUCGCAAGAUUA